rnacentral:misc_RNA from 1 species
UCUCCGUAGGUGAACCUGCGGAGGGAUCACUACAGGCUUGCAAAAGCUCUGAAACCACUGUUUAUCUACCUGAAUCAGCUUCGGCGGGCGGCCCCAGGGCGGGGCCGUAGCCCCAAGGCGCCCGCCGAAGACCCCUAAACUCUGUCGUCUUGGGAAUCCCUGAGUAAUUAUAUUAAACAAAAAACAACUUUCAACAACGGAUCUCUUGGCUCUG